CAAUAGCGUAUACUAACGUUGUUGCAGUUAAAAGCUCGUAGUUGGAUUUCUGUGUGGGUCAGCCGGCCGGCGCUUAGGCGUUGUAGCUAGGUUUGCCCCGCGCAUCUUGUCGCAAUUGCCACUGGCAUUCACUUGUUGGUGUGCAGGACCGACUCGUUUACUUUGAGAAAAUUAGAGUGUUCAAAGCAGGCUAUUGCCUUGAAUAUGUUAGCAUGGAAUAAUGAUAUAGGACUUUGGUUCUAUUUUGUUGGUUGUUCGAGGACCGAAGUAAUGAUUGAUAGGGACAGUUGGGGGCCUCAGUAUUCUGAAGCGAGAGGUGAAAUUCUUGGACCUUCGGAAGACUAACAACUGCGAAAGCAUUGGCCUAGGAUGUUCUCUUUAAUCAAGAACGAAAGUUGGGGAUCGAAGACGAUCAGAUACC
rnacentral:rRNA from 1 species